rnacentral:rRNA from 1 species
UACGUAGGGAGCAAGCGUUGUCCGGAAUCAUUGGGCGUAAAGCGCGCGUAGGUGGCUUCGUAAGUCCGCUGUGAAAGUCCAGGGCUCAACCCUGGAAAGCGGGUGGAUACUGCCGGGCUAGAAUCCGGAAGAGGCGAGUGGAAUUCCUGGUGUAGCGGUGGAAUGCGCAGAUAUCAGGAGGAACACCAAUAGCGAAGGCAGCUCGCUGGGACGGUAUUGACGCUAAGGCGCGAAAGCGUGGGGAGCAAACAGG